CACCUCUAGCAUAACUAGUAUUAGAGGCACUGCCUGCCCAGUGACAAUCGUUAAACGGCCGCGGUAUCUUGACCGUGCAAAGGUAGCAUAAUCACUUGUUCUCUAAAUAAGGACUUGUAUGAACGGCCACACGAGGGUUUUACUGUCUCUUACUCCUAAUCAGUGAAAUUGACCUCCCCGUGAAGAGGCGGGGAUAGCACAAUAAGACGAGAAGACCCUAUGGAGCUUUAAUUAAUCAACUCAAAAAGCAUAAAAUAAUACCACCAAGGGAUAACAAAACUUUAUAUGAGCUGACAAUUUCGGUUGGGGUGACCUCGGAGUAUAAAAAACCCUCCGAGUGAUUAAAACUUAGGCCUACUAGCCAAAGUAUAGUAUCACAUAUUGAUCCAAAAUUUUGAUCAACGGAACAAGUUACCCUAGGGAUAACAGCGCAAUCCUAUUCUAGAGUCCAUAUCGACAAUAGGGUUUACGACCUCGAUGUUGGAUCAGGACAUCCUAAUGGUGCAGCAGCUAUUAAGGGUUCGUUUGUUCAACGAUUAAAGUCCU
rnacentral:rRNA from 1 species